GGAGUUAGCCGGUGCUUCUUCUGUGAGUGAUGUCCUUCCUGCCGGUUAUUGACCCGCAGGCCUUCUUCCUCACUGAAAGUGCUUUACAACCCGAAGGCCUUCUUCACACACGCGGCAUGGCUGGAUCAGGGUUGCCCCCAUUGUCCAAUAUUCCCCACUGCUGCCUCCCGUAGGAGUCUGGGCCGUGUCUCAGUCCCAGUGUGGCUGAUCAUCCUCUCAGACCAGCUACGGAUCGUCGCCUUGGUGAGCCGUUACCUCACCAACCAGCUAAUCCGACAUAGGCUCAUCCGAUAGCGCGAGGCCCGAAGGUCCCCCGCUUUCCCCCGUAGGGCGUAUGCGGUAUUAGCCUGGGUUUCCCCAGGUUAUCCCCCACUACCGGGCAGAUUCCUAUGCAUUACUCACCCGUCCGCCGCUCGCCACCAGGGAGCAAGCUCCCCGUGCUGCCGCUCGACUUGCAUGUGUUAGGCUGCCGCCAGCGUUCAUCUGAGCCAGAAUACGAACCCUACGA
rnacentral:rRNA from 1 species